GCUUUACCGCAUACCACGGCUGCAUUGUGGCAAAGCUGACCUUAACAAACCAUGCUGCUAAGCCGACUUCAGGGAACCGACCACCAUUAUAAAAACUUGGGAGCUGUGAAAAUCUAUAGUGCCACAGCAAGACGAUAUGGGGACUUCAAGACAGCGUCACCACGUGCCUUCUGUUUUUGAGUCUUUUCUGGGCUUGUGAAGCCUUUCCUUAUGGCUGGCUCGGACUGCACUAAUUUCAAGGAUUUUCAGCACCUCUUCGACACAGAAAAGGCACACCUAAAAGCCGUCCCAAAACUUACAGCUUCACAUGUGAACCCUGGAAAGCUGGAAAAAAUGAAUGU